rnacentral:misc_RNA from 1 species
GUUUCUUACUCUUUUUCCCACUACUUAGUAUGAUCCACCGCUAUCUCACUACCCUUUAUUUCUUACUGACCCAAUUUCCCAAUCCUCUCAAUCUUCAAGCUAUCAAAAUCAAAAUCUUGUGAUUUUUUUUAUCUUUUUGUUGUUGAUUGCUGUAAAGUGGGUUUUGGUUUAAAAGGAAAUGAGGGAUGUUCUCGUGGCUGGCAAGGAUAGCAAUGGCGUGUUGGAGACCUGUCAGUCGAUAUGCCCGUAUGAGCAAGGAUGAUAGUGUUAAUAAUGAUGAUGAUUCUUCCUUCGGUGACUCACUUCUCUGGUCCAAAGACCUCGAGAAACACUCUUAUGGGGAAUUCUCUUUCGCUGUAGUUCAAGCCAAUGAGAUCAUUGAAGACCAUAGUCAAGUGGAAACUGGUCGCGAUGCCACCUUUGUUGGCGUCUAUGAUGGGCAUGGUGGGCCCGAUGCAUCUCGGUUCAUUUGUGA